UGGGGAAUAUUGCACAAUGGGCGCAAGCCUGAUGCAGCCAUGCCGCGUGUAUGAAGAAGGCCUUCGGGUUGUAAAGUACUUUCAGCGGGGAGGAAGGGAGUAAAGUUAAUACCUUUGCUCAUUGACGUUACCCGCAGAAGAAGCACCGGCUAACUCCGUGCCAGCAGCCGCGGUAAUACGGAGGGUGCAAGCGUUAAUCGGAAUUACUGGGCGUAAAGCGCACGCAGGCGGUUUGUUAAGUCGGAUGUGAAAUCCCCGGGCUCAACCUAGGAACUGCAUAUGAUACUGGCAAGCUUGAGUCUCGUAGAGGGGGGUAGAAUUCCAGGUGUAGCGGUGAAAUGCGUAGAGAUCUGGAGGAAUACCGGUGGCGAAGGCGGCCACCUGGACGAAGACUGACGCUCAGGUGAGAAAGCGUGGGGAGCAAACAGG
rnacentral:rRNA from 1 species